rnacentral:rRNA from 1 species
AGUGAACGCUGGCGGUAGGCCUAACACAUGCAAGUCGAACGGCAGCACAGUAAGAGCUUGCUCUUACGGGUGGCGAGUGGCGGACGGGUGAGGAAUACAUCGGAAUCUACUUUUUCGUGGGGGAUAACGUAGGGAAACUUACGCUAAUACCGCUUACGACCUACGGGUGAAAGCAGGGGAUCUUCGGACCUUGCGCGAUUGAAUGAGCCGAUGUCGGAUUAGCUAGUUGGCGGGGUAAAGGCCCACCAAGGCGACGAUCCGUAGCUGGUCUGAGAGGAUGAUCAGCCACACUGGGACUGAGACACGGUCCAGACUCCUACGGGAGGCAGCAGUGGGGAAUAUUGGACAAUGGGCGCAAGCCUGAUCCAGCCAUACCGCGUGGGUGAAGAAGGCCUUCGGGUUGUAAAGCCCUUUUGUUGGGAAAGAAAAGCAGCAGGUUAAUACCCCGCUGUUCUGACGGUACCCAAAGAAUAAGCACCGGCUAACUUCGUG